UCAAGGAGGUGAUCCGUCUAGAUCUUAUUACCAGGGUGAGAGAUCAGAUGCUAAACUAGGUUUAGAGAAACAAUCCAACAAGGAUCCUAGAAGCCAAGACCAUGAGGAAGAUAUGGAAAUUGGGUACGAGGACACCACUUUGCCACAAGCAUUUGAAGGUCUUGAGCAGAAAUUCCUAGAUGAGAUCAUGAAACUGACCAAGGAAUAGAAUGAUGCUGAAAAUGCAGAAAAUUCUAGGCAUAGGGAGCAAAUAAAAGAGAUCAAUCAA